CCGGCCUCCUUCGAGGUGAGAGCCUGAGACAUUGCCUUGUUUUCCACCUUCAUGUCCUCCAGCCUCCUACAACAAACAAAACACCAAUCAACAGCCGCAGUUUUAGACCAUGGCUCACCUCCACCUCCCGCACCUCCUUCUGCGUCACCUCCAGCUUCAGGCAGUACUCUUCGGAUUCCAGGCGAGCCUGCUGGACCUGCACGGAGAGGUACGAUGCCACCGCAGCACAGUGAACUUCAACACUGGGAUCUAAAGUGUUUCCAUGCAGAUCUGCUCAACACCGCCAUCCUGUUUUUUGUUUUCAUACUUUCGGAUUGAUGACUUCAGCUGACGGGCUUCAGACUGAAGUCCCCUGAGUUUCUCCUCGGAUGACGUCAGCUCACCCUAAAUGUGGUGAAUGUUUACAGUGAAUGCCAGUGAAGUACAUUUCCCUUAGUCCGCAGAAUUUAUGAAACAGUGGAAGGAGAAGCUGUCAAAACCUUUAUCAAGAAAGUUACCUGUAAGAGCUGCAAAAUAAAUCAAAUAAAACAAAUGUUUAAAACAGUUCAGUGACGGUUCACGAACACUUAGUCUUAUAACAUAGAGAGCACUCGUCUCCCGUAAUUACCCAUCUGGCUUCAAAAAACAAGUUAUUUCUCUUCAUAGCAUCAUGUGAUGAAUAAGGUCCUUUUGAUUUAAUAGAUGUUUACGAAAAAGAGCUACUGAUUAAAUACCGAUUGAGGAAAGUCUGCAGUUGAUUUUUCCGAAGGUACCUUGAGUCUCUGGUUGUCCAGCUUUGUGGAGGCGU